rnacentral:rRNA from 1 species
UACAGAGGGUGCAAGCGUUAAUCGGAUUUACUGGGCGUAAAGCGUGCGUAGGCGGUUCAUUAAGUCUGAUGUGAAAGCCCUGGGCUUAACCCAGGAAUUGCAUCGGAAACUAACGGGCUGGAGUCCGGGAGAGGGUAGUGGAAUUCCUGGUGUAGAGGUGAAAUUCGUAGAUAUCAGGAGGAACACCGGUGGCGAAGGCGGCUACCUGGACCGGUACUGACACUGAGACACGAAAGCGUGGGGAGCAAACAGG